GGAUGGAUGUCUGAGCGGUUGAAAGAGUCGGUCUUGAAAACCGAAGUAUUGAUAAGGAUACCGGGGGUUCGAAUCCCUCUCCAUCCG
rnacentral:tRNA from 4 species